UUCUGGUCUGGAGCUCAGCUGUAUUUGCCUGCUCAUGGUCCCUAUUUAUUUGGACUCAGACCUGCAAGUGGACUUCCCUGCUUGGCUGUGGAUUUAUUCUAUCUCUGUGGGCCUGUCUGGUGCUCACUGAGCUGUGUUUGUCUCUGACUGCUGUCAUCAGGCCUGAUGUUGACCAUUGUAUUGACUUCCAUCUUGACCUGGGAUCUGCCUCAUCUUCAUGGGCUUCCCUGAGCACAGGGGCUCUCGACUGAACCUGGCUGCAGUCUCUGAUCCUGACCUGCUUGCCCUUCUCAAGCUUCUCUCUGUGCAUAGACUCCUCUUCCCUGCCAGAUGGAUUGGUAGAUCUUGCAGCAAUCAAGAUUUUCAGCAGAAACCCCUGCUGUCCACAGCAAGCCUCAGACAGGUGGAAUUCAGUGGGGGGAUGGAGUGAGUUGAUGCAGGAAUGUCGAGCUGCUGAAAAUAGGACAACAUAAAAAGGCCACUUCCCAGUGCCAGCUUGGUGUGAGCUUCCUGAGAACACAUAAAACAUCACAUGCACCAUGUGUUUCAGCUGAACCUCAUGAGCAUCCAAAGGCUUUGUCAUGGUCUUAUGGACUCCGCUUAACCAUAGCUUGUUUCAUCCCAAAGCAAGCAACCAGCUGAGGAAGGACCUGUCAGCGAAGUGCCUUUACUUAAGGUGCUUAAGAAAGCACACAUGAACAGUGCCACAACCUCUGCACUGUGUGGGACUUUGCUGCAAGUAGAGCUUGCUACCAGCUCUACUUUGCUCAGCUGGUAGAGACAGGACUUCUCUCUUUAUCGUACAUAGGGAGAGAGUCAUGUAUCACUGUUUUCUUGCCUAGAAUGAUCCUAGGAAUAAGAUGAGGAUGAGGAAUAACAAAGAAAUUUGGAAAUGGGGAGUGGACAUACCUUGUAGAGGGAAAAACAGAAUGGGGGAUUAAUAGUGCCAACAAAUGAGGGAGAAGUUGGUAAGAAUUUAGCAGGCAAGAAAAGAGAGCUGCCCUCAUGGCAGGGGUGAAGUGAGCUUUGUGCACAAUGUCAGAAAGACAAGAGUUAUCCUGCUCUCCAUCCCAGGCAGUGGUUUAGUGAUCCCACCUGUCCCACCACAUGCCUCUAUCCCCUCAGUCUAUUCACAUGCACAACAAACUGUUUCCAUCCUCUGUAGCCAAGUCUUUCCUUUCUCCCAUGGUGUCUGCCUUUCUUGCCUGUAUUACCACUGUACUCUUAUUACUAUUAACCUCUUCUGUCUACAUCCUCUUGUAUGUCUGCUCCUCUGAGUCUCCAGCUGUGCUUUAUCUGGUAGGAAUCAGAGGGGCAGAUACUGAAAUGCACCCUGUGCUCUUCAGCCUUCAUCUCUUACACAUUUAAUGUCUGAUUUCUCCUCUAACCUAUCAGUUCUAUGCUGGAGCCAACUUGAGAGAGCAAAGCCCACUCCAGAAUGUUAUUUAAAGCACCACUGGAAGAUGCUCAGAUAUCCUCCUGAUGUGUGGUGCAAAGUCCCAGCCAGAGCAACUUGACUGCAGAGAAGAAUUAAAAUAUUGUGCUCAUAAGGAGACUAACUCCCCUUGCAGCUUUCUGGGAGAAGGGAGUGCAUAAUGGGGAGGGAGAUGUAGUUAUAAAGAUUCUAUGAGAUUCUCUGUUCUUUAGGGGACUGUUAAAACCAGUCAAUAUUUAUAAAGCUUUUAGUCUUACUCAUGCAAUUUGUUCCCCCUUCUAUGUGCUUGUCUUUGGGGCUCAGCUGUUUCUUGGCCUGUUACUGAUAUAAAAUUAGAUGCUGUGGUUCAACUGUAUCCUUGCUUAGAGAAAGGGAAAGGUCCAAGGCAAUGCAGAGCAGCUCAGCUGCCACCUCACUGCAGGCAGACAAGGAUCACACACAGAGGGAAGCAUCAUCAGCUCACAUCUGAUGGGCAUUGUACUAAAGAGAACCCUGAGGUUUAAACUGGGGAGGGUAAGGAGUGAAGCUGGGCUGCUUGUCUGGCUUUCUCUUCCAGUCCAGGGUUUGCCAGGAAACUAUUCAACUUCUCAGAGAACAAGGCAGCUCCGAAGUGUUGCCCUGGAGUGAGGGACUGAAAGAGUAAAUCAGGACUCUAAAGGUAUUGGAUGUGGGACAAGGCAGCCUAGGGAGAAAACAGGGAGCAGAAGCAUUCAUGCUCCACUUCUCACUUCUGCCUCUUAAUCCUCAGCUGAAGCACCUCCUCCAGAUUCAGCCUCCCUACUGACUAGGGUGACUUGGCUGAGGUUCCUGGUGAGGAGAGGAAGGCAAUAUGGAAACAUCUUCUGCCUGAAAAUGUGCCAUGACCUGCUGGUCUCAAAGACACUUCCAGUGAUGCUCCUGAAUGAUAAAUAUUGGUGUGCCUGUGUAGGACUAAUCUGACCUCCAUGCCAGGACAGUGUCCUGAAGAGGCAUGAUCCGGUAUGACCUGGUUAAACCACCAGAUUUACCCUGAGCUUGACCCCUCUCUCUUCUGACUUGCCUUCUCCAAGCCCAAAGUUCAUCCUGGAUGAUGAAUGUAGCUUGUGAGUGUAUUACUUUAAGUAAAGACAAGGCUGGGUAAUUUCCUGCUAAAAAUACCAGUAAGGGCACUUUUAAGGUUGUGGAGGUCAACUCUAUCUGCUAACAGUGCCAGCUUUCACUGUCAUUCCCCUUUCCUUCUCUCCAUGCUCAGUUACCAUCUGGUGUUUUGGUUUAUUGAUAAAUGUUGCCCUUUUUUUUUUAAAACUGUCACUACUUUUGGAGAGCCUGUCUUCUAACUUAGCUUUUCAUUUGCACCCCGAUCUACUGACACUCUGUGAGAGUUCUGCACAUGCAAAAGGGUGUUUUGUUGAAGGAACACCAAUAUUUUAUGGCUGUAGACUUGCACAUACAAAGUGACUUGAAAUGUGGGCUCCAGCUGAGGUUAUAGGACAUAUUCAUGCCUUACCACCCUGCAGCUUGAGAAGCAAAGCUGGCACAAGGGAUAACACAGCAAUUUUUUUUUUUUUAAUCCAGAAGAGAUGGGGCAGGUGCAAUCAUAUUAGGUGAUCCUUUUAGGUAGACCUAGAAUUUUUACUGGUUGGAGUAUAGCAAAGUCACUGCUAGGCAAGAAUGGCACUGAAUGCAGCCCUCAUCAAAUUGCCUCUUACAGCAUCAGUGUGUUGAGGUUUCAUCCAGGUAGUAGUGGCUGUGAAUAUCUGAGAAUGACCAAGGUGCUUCAUCACUAGCUGCCACAUUUGUUAUGUUUCUUAUGCCUUGAUUGCAUGGGCUUGUAGGCAGCUCCCUGCAGUGCACUAAGUGAAUAACAUAUUAUUCUGGUGGGUUCUGUUCUUUUGACAUAAGAGUAAGGAAUGACACAUUUAGCUACUUUCUUCUUCUCUCACCUACUGUGUAACAAUUUUAAUAAUACUUUCCUAUAAGUGAGAUUUUUGGAAGGCAUAUCUCACUUCAGAUUGCACAUGUUACUCUUCAACUUGACAGUCAAAAACCUCCUUUUUUUGUUGUGGCAUGGCUCAUGAUUUUCCUAGUGCUCCUCGUUAUGUUACAUGUAAGCACAAGUUUGUUUCCUCUGCUCAUUUUUGCAAUCACCCCAUUCAUUACCCCUGGUGAGCUUUAUAAUACCUUAAUCCUUGCAGGCUUCUGCUCUCCUUGUUCUUCAGGGAGCCUGAAUUCCCAAAGGCACCAUUCAGCUACCUACGGAAAUGACACACCUGCUUCUUGGAGCUCUUUGCCAAUGCUGUAAUGUCAGCUUCCUCUCAUCCACCCCUUCUGGCACAGGACUUCAAACCUCUCUUGAAGUGUCUUAGCUUAGAAAUGCUGGGAGGUGAUGUAUUAAGUGUUAUUUUUUUCCCCUGUCUGUUUUUUCCACUGCAUCACCUGUCUCCCUCCCUGGGAGGCCGUGCAGUAUCCUUGCUCUGGGCUGGGGGCAGGUUUUGUUUGAGCCCCCCAUCCUUGAUUUUUAUUUAUCACAGGGGGAAACAAUGCAUUCACAUCCUUCAGACUUCCUGUAGAUUGAAUGGAAUCCUAUACUGGGUUUUAUAGUUUUAUACAGGAAUUUGACAUUGGAGAGAAAAAACCAGAGCCCAUGUCCCCAGAAGGAAGUUCCCUGGCAUCAGUCACCUCUGACAUACUAGUUUUGGAUAUGGGCUUGUGCAGUCCCUGAUGGCAUGAGAGACCUAGAACCAUUCUUCCCCAUCCCUUUGCAUUAACCAUUAAUGGAUGCACAAGUUCCUGCCUGUAGGAUUAUUAUCCUCUGUGUCUGUUCGGACAGCAGCCCCAUCAGCUGGAAGUGAGCUUUGCCAUCAUUAAGGAGACUUCAACAAAGACUGUUCUGUCGAAAGUGAACAUCUUGAUGAGACUUAAUUUAUUUCACAGUUGUUGUUAUCCUGUUGACCAAAAAUGACAGCAGGAGACUUGGAGAGGUGCCCAGUUUAUUUAAGAAGCAAGCACAAAACAGUCUCUGCCUGCCUGGAGAAAGAUCGUAGCAGCAUAAAGCAAUCCUAGCUCCUAGUCCCAAAGCUCUGUCUGGCAGCUCCUGCACAUCAAAACUCACUGUGACUUUUCUGAGGGCCAGUCCAGAUUGUGUUGCUUUUUUUUUUCCUGUUUUUAAGUAUCCCAGCCUCUUCUUUGUGCAUCCUCUCAGGACUAUUUUCAGUGCUGUGAAAGCUGGGAAACUGUUGUGUGGUGUAAACCAGCAUAACAGUCUGGGUUUACUCCAGUGUUUAGGGGCAGAUCAGAUGCCUGGAUGCAGGUAGGCAAAGUGCCCAGUGCUGGAGCUCCCUGGCAUUUAAUACUUGUGUGGUGGCACAGUGCAGCUGCAGUGCCACGUCUGAGCCCUGCCCCAGAUGUGCCUGGUAUAUGUGCUCUGCCGUGGAGAGGGGCAGCUGGAAAACAGAGCCAAACUGGGCACAGAGUGCAAGAAAAGGGUCCAGAUCUGCAGGCUACAGCCAGAAGUCCACCAAGACAUAAGAAGAAAAAUCAUUGUGGGAGGUGGUGAGAUCUUUAGCUUGGAGAUCUUCAAACCUCACCUGGGGAAGGCACUGAGCAACCUCAUCAGAUUUUGAAGCCAGUCCUGCUUUGAGCAGGGGGUUGGACUAGUGCCCUGCAAAACCUCUUCUGAAUUAAAUUACUACAUGAGAGAAGAGUUAAAGUCAGAUCGAAUUCUGGUUUUUUCUUGGGAAACAAUAUGGAUUUUUCUUCCAACAGAAGGUCCUGUGAGAAUAAGUACCUGCUUUUAUAAAAGAGUGAAGGGUCACUGUCUUGUUAUCUUCAAUAAAAGGAAGUGGUUACUUUUCCCAGCUUUAUUGGGAUUCACCUACCCACUGCAACACGUACUACUUGUCAAGUUAGGUGCUGUACAAUUUGCACAGGAAAAGCUGAUGACAGUCUCUCAGAACAAACACCUGUCAUGCUUUUUGCCUAGAAGCUGCAGCUUGCCGGCACAAGUGAGAGUUGGAAGAGUGAUUUGAGAUCAACAACACUGAGGAGCCCUUUGGAGGAGCCAAAGAUGCAAUGCUGCUGCAGUGCUAGCAUUGCAUCAGUAACUCAUUCCCUGGUUCCUGUUUAAUUCCUUCUCAUCCUCAGUCCUGCUGUGGUCAUUUUUGGGUCUUCUAUAAUCAAGUGAUACCUGCCAUCUUCCAAUUUCAGAGACUUCAUCUGAAUAAUCUCUCAAAAAUCAAGGUAAAAUGAGAGAGAAAUCUGCUGUCAAGAAAGCAAAGAAAAUAUUUUGUGUGUAAUACACUGCCUUAGGGAACAGGUUGACAGUGUUGACAGGGUUUUGCCUGCAUUGCCCUUCCCAGGAGCCUGCUCCAGCCUUUCUGUGCUCUGACAGCUGGAGAUGUUCCCUGUGUUUCCACAUUUCCAGCAGCAAGAACAAAAUGUCAUUUACUUUAUGUUCCUGUAGUUUCCUUAGGUUCUAGCAGAGCUCACCAUCCACUGGCUAUCUUUGAGCUUCAGCAGACCUUGCAAGAUAAAUAAAUAUAGCUACAGGAAGGCAUUCCGAGCCCACAAUUUGUGUAUUAGAAACCUGAAAUCAGGAACUGCUCUGCUGUGACUUUGAGAACUGGGUACCAGAUCUUACUUUAGUGAAGUUAAACACAUGCAGGAGGACAGUUCAUCAUAAGAAUAGCCAAAGUCACAUCAUCCCAACAUGGAAUCUCUUGAAUGCAGUUCAGAUUUAUGACUAAUUUAUAUUGCUCGUUUUGGCCCUAGACAGACAACUUAAUAUGAUAUAAAUUCAUUACUGAAGACUAGAGCAAAGAGCUGUGUGUGUGGAGUAAAGUGCAUGACCAUUGGGAUGGACAGCUUUAAAGCUUUGUUCAUAAAUGUAGGGCCAUAAAGUGGCUCUGUUGCAUUAAAGUUGCUGUGUAAAUGUGAAUGCUCCAGGAUUUCAGCUUCUGCUGCUCUGACUUGAAUACUUAUAAUGAGAGAAGGGCAGGAGAAAACCAUACUCUGGGCUUGGAAAGGUGUGACCUAUGUCAGAUCAGUACAUUCAUUGCCACUUCUGUAUAAUCCUGGUUGCUUGGCCCCUUCUUUUGUCCUCAUUUUUGUCCAAGAAAAAAAUCUUAUUAAGUGGUCAAAAAGCUUGAUUAUGAAAAAGAUGAAGGAUGUCCAGAGGAAUAUCUGAGUUCAGAAAAGCUCUAAUUUAGGAGAAACUAGAAAUGGAUUUUAGACCUCUCAUUAGCCCAGAGCUGGCUGAAACCAUGGGGAUUAUUUGCAAGAAGUCCAGUUGUACUGUUUGUGUGGAUGGCUGGGGGAUUAGAAGGAGGAGCUGGGCAGUGCUGGGACUGUGACAGGAGAUAAUCUGUGUGAGCUGCCCCUUGGAGGGGCAAGACCCUGUGACUAAUCCCCAUCUGUGGGAUCAUAUGGAGAACCUGUGGAGUGGGGCUCAGCUGUGCACUGCUCACCUCUCUCUAAGUGGGUCCUACAUCCCUCUAGGCAGGAGGCUCAUCAGCUCUGAGAGUGCCAGCACACACGAGAGGUGUACUAAGUGUGUGCACUGUGAGGAGGGAUCACAAAUACACACAACUCCAUGGCUUUUUCUGUGCAGGAGGCUAAGAAGUUGAAGGGAAUGUGAAGGCAGUCAGAUUGAAUUCAGUCAUACCCAUGUUGGGGAUGGUGAAGUAUCAUUUGAAAGGGGUAGAAUUUCGGAAGACAGUUCCUGAGCUUUCAGGAAACAGGACUGGAAAAUUCAGGAGUAGCACAAGGCGAACCUUCUGGAAAUAAUUUUUUUUGUUAUUUUCUUCAAUGUUUUUGCUUUUUAAUAAAAUGGAAAUAUUAUUCCCUUUGAUGUUUUAUCUGACAUGUGACAUCCUACUCUGUCUCCCUCUCAGCUCCCAUCCCAGUCACCCACAGGGCAGAGUUCCCCGAGCCUGCUGGAGAGGGCGAGCAGGAAAUGGGCUCAGCCUCUGUAUCCCCCUGCUCACCACUGGCACAGGAGCCACGGGUCAUUGGAACAGAUGCUGGGACCAACUAAUUUCGAAUGUGGCAAUAUUAACUUCUUCUGCUGCUUGCAUAGUCCUCAGCUUCACGCAUUAUGAUAAAACAUAACAGCUGACAUGAGAGGUUAUGCUGAGCGCAGCCCAGAGAAGCUCAGACAUCCCUAAACCCCAAAUCCUCUUCCUCUUAUCUUCUCCCCAUUGCCCACGGCACAUCAUCUCGUUCUGUUUCUUUGCUGCCGGCAAACCAGGGUGGGCAGCAGCCUAAAGUCCUCCCGUCUCCGCCGAGAGCUGGCACCACCCCGUGUGCGGCAGAGCACCGCCGGUCCGCAGGCCUCCCACAGGGCUCCGUGACCGGGACUCUCCCGCCUCGCCUCGAGAGGUGCCCGCUCCAACACCGCCCCCGCCCUGAGGGACAGGGUGCGGGGGCCGUGGCACCGCCGGGCAGCGGCUCUGAGGCUCCCCGGGACACCUCUGCUUCUCCCAGGCCGGCGGAACAGUGCGAGCACGGCGGUGGGAUGGUUUGGGGAUGAGGGGCAGAGGCAGCCGGACCCGGUACGGGAGAGCGCCGGGGCACCGGAGCUGUCCGAGCGGUCUGACAGCCGCCCCGGCCUCCCGGCUGUAGCCUCAAAGCAGCCAACACCAACCCUCACCUCCGCCAAACAAUAAAACAAUAAUAAUAAUUUAAAAAAUUUAAAACCCCAAAUGUAUAAAUAACUGCCCCCGGAAGCCGCUCGUCCCGCUGAGCGGCUG